GAAUUCGCCCUUAGAGUUUGAUCCUGGCUCAGGAUGAACGUUGGCGGUGUGCCUAAUACAUGCAAGUCGAACGGUGACGAUUUUGUAGCAAUACGAAUGAAAUCAUAGUGGCGAACGGGUGAGUAACGCGUUGGUGAUCUGCCUCGAAGUGUGGAAUAACUUCCCGAAAGGGUAGCUAAUACCGCAUAGUCUCUCAAGGUUUAGAAAAUUGAGAGUAAAGGAUUUAUUCGCUUCGAGAGGAGCCUGCGUCCCAUCAGCUAGUUGGUAGGGUAAUAGCCUACCAAGGCAAUGACGGGUAGGGGACCUGAGAGGGUGGCCCCCCACAAUGGAACUGAAACACGGUCCAUACACCUACGGGUGGCAGCAGUAGGGAAUAUUAGAAAUGGGCGAAAGCCUGAUCUAGCAACACCGCGUGUGCGAUGAAGGCCUUCGGGUUGUAAAGCACUUUUUGGAGGGAAUAGGAAGGAAGGUACCUCCAGAAUAAGUCUCGGCUGACUACGUGCCAGCAGCCGCGGUAACACGUAGGAGGCAAACGUUAUCCGGAUUCACUGGGCGUAAAGCGCGUGUAGGUGGUUCUGUAAGUAGGGCGUGAAAGCUCCCGGCUCAACUGGGAGAGGCCGUACUAAACUGCAGAGCUAGAGGAUGGUAGAGGGAGGUGGAAUUCCAGGUGUAGUGGUGAAAUGCGCAGAUAUCUGGAGGAACACCAGUGGCGAAGGCGGCCUCCUGGACCAUUCCUGACACUCAGACGCGAAAGCUAGGGUAGCAAACGGAAUUAGAGACUCCGGUAGUCCUAGCCCUAAACGAUGCAGACUAGGCGUCGGCGGUGUAAUCACCGUCGGUGUCCAAGCUAACGCGAUAAGUCUGCCGCCUGAGGACUACGGCCGCAAGGCUAAAACUCAAAGGAAAAGACGGGUCCCCGCACAAGCAGCGGAGCGUGUGGUUUAAUUCGACGCAAUGCGAAAAACCUUACCAGGCCUCGACAUCCCUCUGACCGGUUUAGAGAUAAGCCCUUCCCUUCGGGGACAGAGGAGACAGGUGGUGCAUGGUUGUCGUCAGCUCGUGUCGUGAGAUGUUGGGUUAAGUCCCGCAACGAGCGCAACCCCCAUCAUUAGUUGCUAACAUUAAGUUGAGAACUCUAAUGAGACUGCCAGCGAUAAGUUGGAGGAAGGUGGGGAGGACGUCAAAUCAUCAUGCCCCCUAUGGCCUGGGCUACACACGUGCUACAAUGGCCGGUACAAAGAGCAGCGAAACUGUGAAGUGAAGCAAAUCUCAAAAAGCCGGUCUCAGUUCGGAUUGUAGUCUGCAACUCGACUACAUGAAGUCGGAAUCGCUAGUAAUCGUGAAUCAGCAUGUCACGGCGAAUAAGGUCUCGAGUUUUGUACACACCGCCCGUCA
rnacentral:rRNA from 1 species